CCUGCGCACUAGAGAACGCCCGAGCCUGUGGGCGGAGCCACGCCGGCGCCGGGUACCGCCCAUGGCCCCGCCCGCACGAACCCCGCGCCCGCCUCCGCACACACGCACUUCCCGCCACGCCUCCUCGCGGACCUCCACCGAGUCCCGCGGAGCCCAGCAAAGCGAGCCAGGAGCGAUGGACGGCCGAGUGCAGCUGAUCAAGGCCCUCCUGGCCCUGCCCCUCCGGCCCCAGGCGCGUCGGUGGAGGAACCCCAUUCCCUUCCCCGAGACGUUUGACGGCGACACCGACCGGCUCCCGGAGUUCAUCGUGCAGACGGGCGCCUACAUGUUAGUGGACGAGACCCUGUUCUCCAGCGAUGCCCUGAAGGUGACGUUCCUCAUCACCCGCCUCACCGGGCCGGCCCUGCAGUGGGUGAUCCCCUACAUCAGGAAGCAGAGCCCCCUCCUCAACGAUUACCGGGGCUUCCUGGCCGAGAUGAAGCGGGUCUUUGGCUGGGUGGAGGACGAGGACUUCUAGGCCGGGAGCCCCUCGGGCCUUGGGGGCGGGUGCUCGGGGGAGGGUCCGCUGCGCCAGUCGCCGCCGCCCAGAUGGCCACGGGCGUCCUCCCGCCGCGCCUCCUCCCUCCCUCACCUUCGAGUCGCCGCGAUCUCCCCCGCGCUCGCGUCCCCUCCCGCGUAGUGCUUGCCUUUGUUCCAGGAAUAGCGCUCCAGGUUCCCGCUGCCGCCGCCGCUGCCGCCGCCGCCGGGCCUGGCUCUGAGGCGGCCGCCGCCCUCUCCGGCCAGCCCGGCCCCUCCCAUGCACACUUGGACUCGGUCCUGCGCUCCAGCUGCAAGCCGGGCUCCCGUUACACACGGGACAGACCACCCACGGCCCGGCCGCUGCCAGCCGCCCGCCCCCUGCCCGACUGCCAGGCCCGCAUCCAGGUGCCCAGAGACCUUCGCUGCCAGCCGCCCGCCCCCUGCCCGACUGCCAGGCCCGCAUCCAGGUGCCCAGAGACCUUCGCUGCCACUGCCGCUGCCAUCCCGGUCCACCGCGUCCCGCCGACACACUACAGCCUUCAGCGGUCCGGACUCACCCGGGAGGUAUCUGAGCUGGCCACAGCCCCUGGACAAUGACUCCAGCAGCUCG
rnacentral:lncRNA from 1 species